GACGAACGCUGGCGGCGUGCUUAACACAUGCAAGUCGAACGGAAAGGCCUGCUUUCCCUUGUGGAUUGCGGGUACUCGAGUGGCGAACGGGUGAGUAACACGUGAGUGAUCUGCCCCCAACUUGGGUAUAAGCCUGGGAAACUGGGUCUAAUUCCCGAUAGGACUGCAGGGUGGUGCCUGUGGUGGAAAACGAUUUUCUAGUGGUUGGGGAUGAGCUCGCGGCCUAUCAGCUUGUUGGUGGGGUAAUGGCCUACCAAGGCGGCGACGGGUAGCCGGCCUGAGAGGGUGGACGGCCCCAUUGGGACUGGGAUACGGCCCAGACUCCUGCGGGAGGCAGCAGUGGGGAAUAUUACACAAUGGGCGGAAGCCUGAUGCAGCGACGCCGCGUGGGGGAUGACGGCCUUCGGGUUGUAAACUCCUUUCGACCGCGAGGAAGCCACCUGGUUGGAAGGGUGGUGACGGUAGUGGUAGAAGAAGCACCGGCUAACUACGUG
rnacentral:rRNA from 1 species